rnacentral:rRNA from 1 species
UGGGGAAUAUUGCACAAUGGGCGCAAGCCUGAUGCAGCCAUGCCGCGUGUAUGAAGAAGGCCUUCGGGUUGUAAAGUACUUUCAGCGAGGAGGAAGGCGGUAAGGUUAAUAACCUUAUCGAUUGACGUUACUCGCAGAAGAAGCACCGGCUAACUCCGUGCCAGCAGCCGCGGUAAUACGGAGGGUGCAAGCGUUAAUCGGAAUUACUGGGCGUAAAGCGCACGCAGGCGGUCUGUCAAGUCGGAUGUGAAAUCCCCGGGCUCAACCUGGGAACUGCAUUCGAAACUGGCAGGCUAGAGUCUUGUAGAGGGGGGUAGAAUUCCAGGUGUAGCGGUGAAAUGCGUAGAGAUCUGGAGGAAUACCGGUGGCGAAGGCGGCCCCCUGGACAAAGACUGACACUCAGGUGCGAAAGCGUGGGGAGCAAACA